GGGCCCAUAGCUCAGUUGGUCAGAGCACCCGGCUCAUAACCGGAGUGUCCCAGGUUCGAGUCCUGGUGGGCCUACCC
rnacentral:tRNA from 1 species